UUUCAAUUAGUAAAGGUUGUAGCGAGUGAUUUAACAAAAAGAUAGAAGAUAAUAGGAUGGAAUUAGCUAAAAGACUAUAUUUCUCUUUCUUUCUGAUCUCUCCUCUCUUCUAGCUUUAAUUUAGCUAGCUUAGCUAGGGAUAUUUAGCCUCUGAUGUGAUCCGACUACUCUUGUGGCAGCUUGUUUCACUACUACUAGGUGGUACAAAUUAAGAUCCAGGGGUUUCUACAUAUUUAAGGUUUUGAGACUUGGAAAAAUGGAGGAGGAGGGUUUUGGGUUAAUCUGGAUCUCUCUCUGUAUAUAUUGUUCGUAGCUGGCUAGGGGGUUAUUAGGGUUGGAUUUUGAGGAAGAAAAAGAAAAGAGAGAUCUAAUUAAGGAUCUGGGAUGGGUUUGUUUUUGGCAAGAAUGCGUACGUAUGGGCAGUACUGGAUCAGUUAUGCUUCGAUCUCUC
rnacentral:lncRNA from 1 species